AUAAAGAAACCCUUUUUUUUUUAUUGGAAUUAUUACUGAUUCCAUUAAUCAGGUACAUGAUUCAUUGAGAUACAACUGCUUUAAGAUAUUUUUCACGCAUGACUUGAAAUUUCACAAUCAUCUUAUCUCGUGGCGGCCAGCAUUCUUUGAUUACUGGAUCAUUGGAGAAGUUCUGCAUCCAUGCUGAUAGCAGUGGAAAUUUCUCUUCAUCAACCAAGUUCAGAUUCAUUAUCUCUUCCAGGAUGCUGAUUAUAUUAGCCGUCCAACCAAAGGCAAUGUCAAGAUAU
rnacentral:lncRNA from 1 species